rnacentral:rRNA from 1 species
UACGUAGGGGGCGAGCGUUGUCCGGAAUCAUUGGGCGUAAAGAGCGUGUAGGUGGCUUGGAAAGUCUUACGUGAAAGCCUGCGGCUCAACCGCAGAAGUGCGUGGGAAACUUCCUCGCUAGAGUCCGGAAGAGGAGAGCGGAAUUCCUGGUGUAGCGGUGGAAUGCGCAGAUAUCAGGAGGAACACCCGUGGCGAAGGCGGCUCACUGGACCAUAACUGACGCUGAUGCACGAAAGCUAGGGGAGCAAACAGG